CUACGGGGGGCUGCAGUGGGGAAUAUUGCACAAUGGGCGCAAGCCUGAUGCAGCCAUGCCGCGUGUAUGAAGAAGGCCUUCGGGUUGUAAAGUACUUUCAGCGGGGAGGAAGGGAGUAAAGUUAAUACCUUUGCUCAUUGACGUUACCCGCAGAAGAAGCACCGGCUAACUCCGUGCCAGGCAGCCGCGGUAAUACGGAGGGUGCAAGCGUUAAUCGGAAUUACUGGGCGUAAAGCGCACGCAGGCGGUUUGUUAAGUCAGAUGUGAAAUCCCCGGGCUCAACCUGGGAACUGCAUCUGAUACUGGGAAGCUUGAGUCUCGUAGAGGGGGGUAGAAUUCCAGGUGUAGCGGUGAAAUGCGUAGAGAUCUGGAGGAAUACCGGUGGCGAAGGCGGCCCCCUGGACGAAGACUGACGCUCAGGUGCGAAAGCGUGGGGAGCAAACAGGAUUAGAUACCCCGGUAGUC
rnacentral:rRNA from 1 species